rnacentral:lncRNA from 1 species
UGUUACGAUGUCGAACAAUGUAAGUGUUAGUACUGUGCGGAGGGGCAGCACACAAUCAAACAUACACACUAGUAAUUACCCCUACAAAAAUAGCAUACACAAACUCGACAAACGUAGAAAGAACGGUAUACUGCUCCUAAUAAACAAAUUAAACAAUUUGAACGAAAAAAGUAAUAACAAAAAAGAUUUAAAUUUUAAUACUUGCAUAAUAAAUUUGUUAUAUAAAAUUGAUUAUGUUUGUAAUGAGGAUGGCCCAUUAAUAAAUAAAAAAAAAUGCAUUGAUUUGAUGUUAAUAUAUGGAAAUAUUUUAAACGAAGAGUAUGAUGAAACAAAAUGGGUAUGUGGUAAUUUAUAUUACCUAUUUUUUAAUAAAUACAAUAACCUAUCAAAUCAUUUAUUUUUGAAUUUUUUUUUAUUAUAUGUUUCAGAAGAAAAAGAAGUACAAAAAAUACGUUUUUUUUUAAUUAAUAACAUUAUGCCUAUUUUUUAUAUAUAUAUAAAUGAUAUUUUGAAUAUGUUAUUUAUUUUUUUUAAAAAAAGAAAAAAUAAAAUGUUAACAAUAUUACAUAUGCCGCUACUACAACUGUUUAUUUUUCGCAUCAGUUUGAGUAACUAUCUUCUGUUUGAAAAAAAACAGCGCAAAAAAUGGAACAAAAAAGGCAAAAAAUGGAAUCAAAAUGGGAACAAAUCGAAUCAAUAUGUCAACAAAUCGAACCAAUAUGGCAACAAAUCGAACCAAUAUGGCAACAAAUCAAAUGGUGUAAAUAUACCAAAUGAAAAAAUAAAAAAAAGAAACACAUUUUUUUCGACUUGGUCUCAAAACAAACAUGAUACUAAAAAAAAAAGUAAACUAUGUUGGAACAGAAAAACAAAUACAGUUAUACAAAAACCUACUGAUAUAGAUCAAAUGCAUAUCGUAAUAAAUAAAACUUUUUUUUGUUACUAUGUCCAUAUAAUAGACCUUUAUUUGUGCUACUUAUGUGUUUUUAUUAUUAGUGUUGUUCUUUUAGAUAGCUACUAUAACUUUUUCAACCAAAAUGACAUCUUAAUAAAUAAACAAAACACGAUGAAAAAAAGUAAAAGAAAGAAAAAACAUAAACGGAAGGAUAACCAAGAUGCUGCACCAAGUGUCAGAACAAAACCAAUCGAAAAAAUAGGCGAAAAAGUAGGUGAACAAAUAGGCGAAAAAAUGGGCAGCAAAAUGAACGGGAAAAUGAGCAAUAAAACA